UACGUAGGGUGCAAGCGUUGUCCGGAAUUACUGGGCGUAAAGAGCUCGUAGGUGGUUUGUCGCGUUGUCCGUGAAAACUCACAACUCAAUUGUGGGCGUGCGGGCGAUACGGGCAGACUGGAGUACUGCAGGGGAGACUGGAAUUCCUGGUGUAGCGGUGGAAUGCGCAGAUAUCAGGAGGAACACCGGUGGCGAAGGCGGGUCUCUGGGCAUUAACUGACGCUGAGACGCGAAAGCCAGGGGAGCGAACGGG
rnacentral:rRNA from 1 species